GAAUCUAAAAAUUUUGACCUCAGGAUGGAUUUGGAACAAUGAUCUGGCCUGAUGGAGACAGCUAUGUGGGAGCAUGGGAGAAUGGCCAGAUUCAGGGUUGGGGAGCUUUCUAUUGGAGUAAUGGCAAUUCAUAUCAGGGUAGAAUUGUCAGUGGUGUAAUGGAAGGACAGGCAUUACACUUCAGG